GGGCCCAUAGCUCAGCUGGAAGAGCCACCGGCUCAUAACCGGUCUGUCCCUGGUUCGAGUCCAGGUGGGCCCACCA
rnacentral:tRNA from 1 species